ncrna:Pseudomonas fuscovaginae TPB0736 narK RNA
GGCCCGGCUCUUGCUUAUUCAUGCCUGCAGGUAACCAACGGCGGUUGCCCCACUUUACGACAAAGACGUCGC